GACGAACGCUGGCGGCGUGCUUAACACAUGCAAGUCGAACGGAAAGGCCUCUUUCGGGGGGUACUCGAGUGGCGAACGGGUGAGUAACACGUGAGUAACCUGCCCUUGACUUUGGGAUAACUUCAGGAAACUGGGGCUAAUACCGGAUAGGAGCUCCUGCUGCAUGGUGGGGGUUGGAAAGUUUCGGCGGUUGGGGAUGGACUCGCGGCUUAUCAGCUUGUUGGUGGGGUAGUGGCUUACCAAGGCUUUGUCGGGUAGCCGGCCUGGGAGGGUGACCGGCCACAUUGGGACUGAGAUACGGCCCAGACUCCUACGGGGGGCAGCAGUGGGGAAUAUUGCACAAUGGGUGGGAGCCUGAUGCAGCAACGCCGUGUGCGGGAUGACGGCCUUCGGGUUGUAAACCGCUUUCGCUCAUGACGAAGCUUUGUGUGACGGUAGUGGGUAAAGAAGCACCGGCUAACUACGUG
rnacentral:rRNA from 1 species